GAUCAGUAUCAUUAUUAAGAAAUGAAUGUCACACCACUCACCAAUAUAUUUCGUGAUCCACAAACAAAUGUAAUAACAUUCGCAAAUAUAAUUCAUACAUUUCAUGAUCCACAAACAAAUGUAACAACAUUCACAAAUAUAAUUCAUGAUGCACAAAUGAAUGUAACCCCAUUCACAAAUGCCAGCGCAGUUCUAUUAAUUUGCAAACCGGUCUACAUAUAUUCGCAAGCCCUAUACAUAUUUGUGACUUCCAUUGUAUUUGUGUGUGGAUUUUUGAGACUGUCCUGACGGUAUUUGACACACAAAUGUGCUCAGCCAAUCACAUCAGCCGGCGUUCGAGCGUAAGGUUGAAGACAUUGCGCUUCUAUUACGCAGAGAAGGCUACUAGUGCUAAGCCACCAUAGAUCUGUAUAAAUAACUGGAAGUAGAGCCAUUACUGAAGUGCUCCCUGACGUAAACUCGGAAGCGUAUGAAGUUACUGACUUUCACAUCAUCUUUGUACAAAUAUGUCUGGAUCUGGACUAACGUGUGCCGUAAUCGGAUGUCACAAUAACAGCAGAAAGCUAAAAAUGUGGAAAAAGAGCGUAUGUGCGCUUCAUAGUCCACAGUUUAAAGAGGAUUGUCCUUGUUGUGUGCCCUACGGUGUACACCGCUUCCCCGGCCGUGCUGAGGAUGAAGACAUUCGCAAGAUGUGGAUUAAAAACGUACACCGAAAGGACUUUGCCCCCAAACAAGUAUUCAAGGGUGUGUGCGGAGUACACUUCCCUGACGGCAGACCAACGCAGGAACACCCAUAUCCCAUAAUAUGGGAUAUGAAUAUAGUAAAGCACCAUCAUGUGGAAGACCACCCCCAAAGAGAUGUCUCCAGCCCCCAACAGAGAGACUUGGAUUAAUGUUGAGAGGAUUAUUGUUCAAUACGGUGUAGAAACACUUGGUUCAGUUAUAUGUAUAUAUCUAUCAUCUUUCAAGAAAUCCUUCAUCCCCUCAGCUGUGACCAUACUGAACAAGAGAUGAACUGUCCAGCUGCAGCAUGCAUGUAUUGUGUGGUCUUGUCUUUUUUUUUUUUGGUCAAGCCUUGUCUAAUGUCUGUGAGAAUCACUGAAGCCACGCCAAAGACAAUUUUCUUUUUCAUGGGUGUAACAGACAAUUAAGUUUUAUCUAAUCUAAUCAUAUCAAUGAGAAUCAGUGCACCUGACAAAGGUAUGACAUACCGUAUACUGUAGGCUUAAAUGCUAAAGAAAAAUGAAUUAACCUGGCGGUUUUGAAUUGUUUAUUUACACAGUUAUUAAAAUGCAUACAGAUAGUGAAUUUAAUAUAGUUCAAUACUGUGUGCUUACUUGAUGGUGUUUUUUUUAUAUGUGCUGAACUGAAAAACAACCUAGCUACUUGUGCUCAAUAUCCAACUGCAGCAUUGUAGUUGCAGGUGGGGGGUGGUGGUUGUUCAAAUUUGACACACACCUUACAUUGGUCCACUUUACAAAUGGCCCCAUACACUAAAUGACUCUUGCUGGUGUGUUUUUUACUAGGCAACUUGUUAUUAAUCACUAAUGUUCUUAAUGUCAUUUCAAUGCAGCUCUUUGUGAGAAAUCUGGGCAGCCAUGGCCUAGUGCAGGGAUGUCAAACUCAGGCCCGGGGGCCAAAUCUGGCCCGCAGAGUCAUUUCAUUUGGCCCGUAAGAUCAUUUCAAAUGUGUAUUACAGUUGGCCCACAUACACCAUUAAUAUAUAGCAUAAGACCUGAACAUAAAAUGUAAUGUGUCAAAAAAAAUAUGAGUGGGCUGGGCAUAGGCCAGUAAAACAGCUCACACUACUGCAACAGAGUAUCUGCAGGCACAUUUGAACAACGAUGGGAAUCUGUUUGUGAAAUUUAAUUAUGAGAUUAAGUGUGUUUGCACAAUUUUAGGCCGUUGUAAAUAUUGAGUUUGGCCCGCGACUUUGUUCCAGAUUUGUAUUUUGGCCCUCUGUGAGUUUGAGUUUGACACCCCUGGCCUAGUGGUUAGAGAGUUGGUCUUUCAAUCUAGGGGUUGCUGGUUCGAAUCCCCCACGACCUCUCCCUACACCUCCAUCCAUGGCUGAAGUGCCCUUGAGCAAGUCACCUAACCCCACAUUACUCCAGGGACUGUAACCAAUACCCUGAAAAAUAAUAGUUGUAAGUCGCUUUGAACAAAUGAAAGCGUCAGCUAAGUGAAAUGUAAUGUAAUGUAAAAUCUUGCUGCAGUGUGUUGUGGAAUAGACACAGGAGCUGACCUGUGGUGUCCAGUCUUAACAGAGAGCUGGUGCCACUGUCACACAUUCAAUUUAAUUAAUCAUUAUCCCCCUUAUAUUGAUUGGGAAAUGUUAUACUGGCUUUUUUUCAUUACCUCCUGACUAUACCAGACAUCAUUUUUAUCAUUACCUCUGCCACAUAAUAUGUGAUUGAGUUUUGCAGUCUGUCUGUUUGUUCAUCGCUGGGUGCACAGCUUGCCACUAAGGGGCGCCAAAUCCUUACUUAUUGCUGGAGACGCUACCACAAGGAGAGGACGGGAGGUGAUGUCUUCUAAAAGGGCUGUGGUUAAGUAGCCUAAGCAAUCAGCUGGUGCAACCCACUGUCUUAACACUGCCUCAAAAUAUCAGUUCUUGCAAGGCACGAUUUACAUGGUGAAAUUAAUGACAUGUUGAGGCCAACAAGGCUUUAUUUUAUCAGUUAGAGGGACACUGUGCAGGAAAUGGUCAAAAAGGGUACUGCAACUAUGCUGCUCAUUGUAACUGGGUUGCCUAUUGCCAAAUUUGAUCUUUUCAUGAUAGUUUACUAAAUAAUAAACUCAGAUUUUCUGUUAUGGCCCAAGUACAGUCCUUUUUGCAGCUAAAAAUGGCUAUUUCUGGAAAUUCAAAAUGGCGGACAAUGAUGGAGGAGAUCCCCCUUUGUAUGUAUGAAAAGUGCAAUUUUUCCAGUCAUAAUGAAUACUUAGAAUUUGAUGGUGGUGGUAAGUAUUCAUGAAAAAGGUAACAUUAGUGAAUGAGUAGCAUGAAUUCUGGAAAUAAACAACUAUAAAUCUUGCAGUGUCCCUUUAAUGACAGAGGUUUUUUUUUAAAAAAAAAAAACACACACACACACACACACACCUUGCUUUCUGAUCAGGCCUAGCCUAGAGAGAGAGAGUUUCCCUAUUGCCAAGGCGGCCACCUUGACCUGAAAAGAUAAAGAUUCCCUGUUGUUAACGUAGGCCUAAUUUCUAAAGAUAGAUAUAGAUACAUAUGCAUGCCUGGUUUUAAAUUAACAACCGGUCAAAUGCUGGUGAUAAUUCAGGUUCUUAAUUCAUUCGGCAGUUAUAUUUUCUUUGUUUUGUUUUUACUUUGUUACAGUUUUUGCCUAGGCUACUGCUUAAACACUAAAGGCUGAUGACCAAAGUAGCAUAUUGUUCAGUUGUUGGUACUAUAACACAUGCUGCUUUACCUUAAUCAAAAGUCUAGCAUUACACUUUCAUACCAGCUUUGCAAAGCACUUGUUCCUUUACGCAACACACACACUCCGGCUGUCUGCACACCAUUUUAUACACAAGACACUUUGUUCAAAAGUAAAUUCUCAGAGUGUCAUUGUGAAAACACGUCUGUUAAAAAAAACAAAACGCACUGGAUGUAUGACGAGAUUUAGA